GUACGGAGGGGGCUAGCGUUGUUCGGAAUUACUGGGCGUAAAGCGUACGUAGGCGGACUGAUCAGUUGGGGGUGAAAUCCCAGGGCUUAACCCUGGAACUGCCUUCAAUACUGUCAGUCUUGAGUUUGGGAGAGGUGAGUGGAAUUCCUAGUGUAGAGGUGAAAUUCAUAGAUAUUAGGAGGAACACCAGUGGCGAAGGCGGCUCACUGGCCCAUUACUGACGCUGAGGUACGAAAGCGUGGGGAGCAAACAGGAUUAGAAACCCUAGUAGUCC
rnacentral:rRNA from 1 species